rnacentral:rRNA from 1 species
UACGUAGGGGGCAAGCGUUGUCCGGAUUUAUUGGGCGUAAAGAGCGUGUAGGCGGCUUGGUAGGUCCGCUGUGAAGACUCGAGGCUCAACCUCGAGAUGUCGGCGGAAACCACUUGGCUAGAGUCCGGAAGAGGAGAGUGGAAUUCCCGGUGUAGCGGUGAAAUGCGCAGAUAUCGGGAAGAACACCUAUGGCGAAGGCAGCUCUCUGGGACGGUACUGACGCUGAGACGCGAAAGCGUGGGGAGCGAACAGG